rnacentral:rRNA from 1 species
GAUGAACGCUAGCGGCAGGCCUAACACAUGCAAGUCGAGGGAGAAGCCCUUUCGGGGGCAGAAAGCGGGGCACGGGUGCGUAACGCGUAUGCAACCUACCUUUCACAGGGGGUUAGCCCGAAGAUCUUUGGAUUAAUACCCCAUCAUAUUAUUAGAUCGCAUCAUUUGGUAAUUAAAACUGCGGUGGUGAAGGUUGGGCAUGCGUCCGAUUAGCUAGUUGGAGUGGUAACGGCGGCCCAGGGCGACGAUAGGUAGGGUUUCUGAGAGGGAGAUCCCACACACGGGUACUGAGACAAUGACGACAGACCUACGGGAGGCAGCAGUGAGGAAUAUUGGAGAAUGGUCGGAAGACUGAUCCAGCCAUGCCGCGUGCAGGAAGAAUGCGUGAGGGGUUGUAAACUUCUUUUAUAUGGGAAGAAUAAGGCGUACGUGUACGUUGAUGACGGUAACAGAUAAAUAAGCAUCGGCUAACUCCGUG